GAUGAAGAACGUAGCGAAAUGCGAUAAGUAAUGUGAAUUGCAGAAUUCAGUGAAUCAUCGAAUUUUUGAACGCAUAUUGCGCCCUUUGGUAUUCCAAUGGGCACAUCCGUUCGAGCGUCAUUACAACAUUCAGGCCCUGCCUGGUAUUGGGAGCGGCCCUUGUACGGGGGCCCUCCUCAAACUCCUCGGCGUCGCCGACUCGUCCUCUAGCGCAGCGAGAAUAACAAUUUCCAGCGUUAAAGAGGCGGUCCUCGACCCGCCGGAAUCAAUUUUUAUAUUCAAUGUUUGACCUCGGAUCGGAUGGGGAUACCCGCUGAACUUAAGCAUAUCAAUAAGCGGAGGA
rnacentral:misc_RNA from 1 species